GCGGUAUCCUGACCGUGCAAAGGUAGCAUAAUCAUUUGCUUCAUAAUUGGGGGCUAGUAUGAAUGGGAUUACAAGACACUUACUUUAUUGGGAAGAAGAUAAUAAUUUGCUUUUUUAGUGAAGAAGCUAAAAUAUUCUUAUAGGACAAGAAGACCCUUUUGAGCUUUAUUGUUUUUUUAGUAUAAUACUUUUAGGCAAUUUGGUUGGGGCGACCGAGGAAGGCUUAAUCUUCCUUUAUUUAUAAUGAUCCAAAGUUUUUGAUUAUUAGAUUAAGUUACCAAAGGGAUAACAGCGUAAUUUUUUUUAAGAGUUCUUAUUAAAAAAAAAGAUUGGCACCUCGAUGUUGGCUUAGGAA
rnacentral:rRNA from 1 species